GACGAACGCUGGCGGCGGGCUUAACACAUGCAAGUCGAACGGAGUGGCGAACGGGUGAGUAACACGUGGGUGACCUGCCCUGCACUUCGGGAUAAGCCUGGGAAACUGGGUCUAAUACCGGAUAGUGUGGGAUGGGACCGCGGCAUAUCAGCGUGUUGGUGGGGUAAUGGCCUACCACGGCGGCGACGGGUAGCCGGCCUGGGAGGGUGUACUGCCACAAUGGGACUGAGACACGUCCCAGACUACUACGUGGGGCAGCAGUGGGGAAUCUUGCACAAUGAGCGGGAGUCUGAUGCAGCGACGCCGCGUGGGGGAUGACGGCCUUCGGGUUGUAAACUCCUUUCACCAUCGACGCGGUAGAUGGAGAAGAAGCACCGGCUAACUACGUGCCAGCAGCCGCGGUAAUUC
rnacentral:rRNA from 1 species